AAUGAAUAGAGACAGAGAGGCAUAGCAGGUAAAUGGGGACUGCCAUUAAAGCAUAUGGCCUCCCACGAGUUCACAGCAUGGCCUGCUCUGGGGAUGAAUCAGGGAUGUAUGUGAAGGAGUCUCUCGUCUGUAGGAUUGUUGUGAUAAUUGGGUCUAAUUGUGAGCUCAAGCGUGAAAAGUGAUGACUCCCAACAGCCAGUGCUCCCAGUUCUAAUAAUACAAGCAGCAUCUAAACACCACAUGGGGGCAGCGUGAAAAAAGGCAUGAUGAUGCAAGUGGGAGAGAGAGAUGAAAGGAGCAGCAAGUGGCACAAAAAGGAUGGAAGCCGACUGAAAAAGAAAAUGGAGGAGCACUGGGAACAGACAGUGUGCUCCAACAGCUUGGAGUUGAAGAGCAGGGAAAAGGAACAAAAGUUAGAGAAGGAAGCAGGACUGAAAACCCGCUCUCUGACUUGCUAUGAAGAUACUUAUCAGCCUGUAAUCUUGAAAAACAUAAAAAGCAACCAACUACCGACUUCCUCCCUCCUUCAUCUACCUGAUUUCUCCACCCACCACCUGCUUCUUCCAUCAGACAAUGAAACCUUGCAUUUAGAAAAUGUUGAAAACAGAUUUCAAUCAUUUCCAAACUUUUUUCCCCAAAAUUUUUUGAAUAAAGAGAUUUGUUCAAACUGA